rnacentral:rRNA from 1 species
UACGUAGGGUGCAAGCGUUAAUCGGAAUUACUGGGCGUAAAGCGUGCGCAGGCGGUUUUGUAAGUCUGUCGUGAAAGCCCCGGGCUCCAACCUGGGAAUUGCGAUGGAGGACUGCAAGGCUUGAAUCUGGCAGAGGGGGGUAGAAUUCCACGUGUAGCAGUGAAAUGCGUAGAGAUGAUGGAGGAACACCGAUGGCGAAGGCAGCCCCCUGGGUCAAGAUUGACGCUCAUGCACGAAAGCGUGGGGAGCAAACAGG